UAAUUAAUUGAACCAUGAUAUUAAUUUAUUAUCAUUUAUUUAUCGUUGUAUAUUUGAAUUAGCAACAAAAACACUCCUUGUGCAGGACACUGGAGAGCUUAUCAGCAUCUAAAAUCUUCUGAAGUGAGACCCUAUGUUAUGUGGGCAUAGCAGAGAAAGGCAAUAGAGAAGCUCAAGAGUGAAGCAAUGUGCUGUUUCUUGGUGGGCUGAUAUUGUGACUGUCUCUGGGAGCUGUGAUUUCUAGGUGGAAGCUUGCCUCUGUUUUGACACUGCAGGUGCAGCUGACUAUCUGUGUCUCAUGAGGUCUCUGAACAAAAGUUGCAAUGCUAAGUUGUCUGUUUGGAAUACUUGCAGACCCUGUAACAGGAAGUGUAAUAGGGCAGUGCUGAACAAGUCUCACAUGCAGAAUAAGAGUUUUGACAUGAGUUCUGGAAGAUGACUUUCAGAAUAAUUCACGAGAUAUGAUAGAAAAAUGUCCUCUUUGACUACAGAAAAGCACUCUCAAAUUUCUGUGCCACUACUUGAAACACGGUGAUGCUUUUAAUGCAGACAUUUUCCGUGGCCUUAACUGCUCACAGUCAACAUUUUUCUGAAAUGAGACCUAGGAUUCUUCUUCAGAACAAUAGGUCAAGAUAAGGAAGCUACACAGUUUUUCUUAUUUGUGUCUCUCAUUCAUUUUGGGGAGACCAUCCUUUGGUCGCAGAGUUUGUUGAAGUGACUGGAGAGUCAGUAGUCAUUGGAGCUUGUUUCCUUGGAGAAAAGUUCCAUUCUGCCAAAUGAGGUUGCUCAAUUGAGCUCUUGGCCAACAACAACAAUUAAAAGGAUGAAAGUAUUUCAAGAUGACAAGACAGAAUGGACCCUUAGCAAAUUUACAUGAGGCAAAAUUGGGAAGAGAAUGUUAAGUGACACUCUACAGAAAAACACUGAGAAACACAGGGGCUGAACCAACAGACACCUAAAAAGUUUAGAAGUGCAAAAGUUCAGCAAUUCAGACAAAACGACCAACUUCAGAAAGGAGAUGAGCUACAGAGACAGCAGAAGAAAACACUUUCUCUGCCACAGGAAAAAGAUGAUCUUAUUGAGCUGGAUGAUACCGAAAAGGAACUGGAGGAGGUGCAUGCUGAUCUUGUCAUAGUCAUGCAGGAACUUGAUUUGGCAAAAGCUGAGAGAGAAAAGAGGGUGAAAUAUCAUCUCUAUUACCCAAAGACAGGAUUAGCCAAUUAGGCAUACACGAAUCUCUGUGAACAGAUGGGAUGCAUCUGAAGGUGCUGAUGUAGCUGACUGAUAUCAUUGCAAGGCUGUUGUCAAACCUCUUCAGAAGGUCAUGAAUUUUAGAGGAGGUUCUCAAUAACUGGGAAAAAAAAUAAAUAUGUCAGACUCAUCAUUGAAAAUGGCAAGAAGAUCCAGGAAACUAUGAGCUGGUCUACCUAACCUCAGUGACUGGAUAAGUGAUGGAAUAAAUCCUCUUGGAAGCCAUUUUCAGAGAUAUGAAGAACAAAAUGGUAUUUGGGAGCAGCCAACAUAGAUUUAGCAUGCACAAAUCAUGGCAGACCACCUUUAUAUGAUGAGACGAGUGCUGCUGCUGUGGACAAAAGGGAGGGGCAGUGGAUGGUGUAUGCUUUGACUUUAACAAGGCCUUUUACACACUCUUAUAAAGUCUCCUUAUUAUCAAACUGGUGACAUAUACGCUGGAUAAAUGGAAAACAAGUUAGAUGGAAAAUUGAUUGGACUGCCAAGCUCAAAGGACUAUGAUAAGUGGUGUAAAAUUUAUCUGGGGGUCAGUAGCAAGUGGCAACCUUCAGGGAUCGGUACUGGGACUGUUCAGUGUCUGUCUACAUUAAUGGUCUCGAUAUUGGGACACAAUGCAUUCUCAGCAAGUUUGCCCAUGGUACCAAAUUUGGAGAAGCAGUUAAUACACUGGAGGACUGUUGUACAGAAGGACCUGGUCAGGCUGGAGAAAGGCAUUAACAGGAACCUCAUGAAGUUCAACACAAGCGUCAAGCCCUAUGCCAAGAGAGGAGUAAGCUCAUGCAACAGCAGAGGCUUGUGGCAGGCCAAGUGGCAGAAAAAAGAGCUUUGAAAAGUUGACGGACAACAAGUUGAAUGCUAUUAAGCAGCAAGAAAGUCAGCUACAUACUGAGCAUUGUUAUCAAGAAUGCGGUUUACUGCUACAGGGCUUUGUGUUUCUUGGGCUUCCCCACCGCCCAAUGGAUCAAAACUACAACCAUCACUUCAGUAAAGACUGCUACCAUCGCUUCGACCAAAGGACAUCAAAAUUACAACAACCAAGUCUUGCUGCUGAACUCACAGGUGGGGACUACAUACCUUUCUAUUCUUACCCUUUCUUUCUCUACCCUUAUACAUUUUCUGAAGUGUUACUUUUUUGCUUUUAAAUUGCUAUAUUAUUAUAAAUAAUAAUCAAAAUGGCUACAUAUCUACUUUCCAUUCCAACCAAAUUGUUCUAAAAUAAACCCUAUAUGUAUAUAUACUUACAAACGCUGAUCAUUCAGUGUUGUUUCACUCUAAUCCACCCCAAGGAAUCUAUUAACAAGUGCCUGGGUUGCCCUCGCCUCCAGAGGUGGGUCAUAACACCAAGAAGCUGGAAGGCAUGAUGGAUGAGGACAGGCUGAGGAAAUGAGGUUUAUUUUGCCUUAAAAAGAGAAAUCUCAAGGGAGUCCUUGUUUCUGUCUGCAAGCUGAAUGGAUGGAGCCAUGCUCUUACCAGAAGGGUGCAGCAAUAGGUUGUGAGGCAUUGGACACCAGCUGGAACAUGGGAAGUGACACGUAGAUAUAGGGAGAAACUAGUUUUAUCAUGAAGUUUCUCAAGCCCAGAAACUGGUUGCCCUGAGAGUUUGUGGAAUCUCUGCCCUCAGAGGUGUCUGAAACUUGACUGGACACAGCCCUGUGCAACCUGCUCUACUUAGAAAUUCUUUAAGCACAGGACCACAUGUCCCUUCCAACCUAAAUUAUUCCAUGAUUCCAAUAAAUUGUGAAUUUGGCUCUGGUCCUUAACACUUUUUAUUACAGGAAUUCUUUAAACAUAAAUCUUUAACAAGACAGGUAAUUUACUGUGGAAACUGACUAGAGCUGUCAAAGUACUCAAGAUACCGUACAGCGAAGGAUGCACCAGCUUGGCACCUUUGUAGAGCUAUGAAAGCUGAACAGAUUGUAACAGCAAAAUGUGUUUGCAAUAGUGGAUAGUGUUUAAUGAUUUAUACCAACUACAUCUAAACUGAGACGAACAUCUCUUCCAAAAUAGACAUGUUCAAUUAGUUAAAUUUAUCUGCCCCCAUUUAACAUUCAUUUUUUUGCCUUGAAAAGUACUUCUUCAGCUUUUGGCUUUAACUGGAGUCACUGUGCUCCUCAGUUAUUUUAUCCAGAGGUCUACAUGCCAGCUCAAAGGCAGGUAGAAGUCAUGUCCUAGUUAGAACAGCUGGAACCAGUUCAUCACUGUAUGGGUGUAACCCAAAACU